UACGUAGGGGGCGAGCGUUGUCCGGAAUCAUUGGGCGUAAAGAGCGUGUAGGCGGCUUGGUAGGUCUCGUGUUAAAUCUUGCGGCUCAACCGCAAACUGUCACGGGAAACCCCCUCGCUAGAGUCCGGAAGAGGAGAGCGGAAUUCCUGGUGUAGCGGUGAUAUGCGCAGAUAUCAGGAGGAACACCCGUGGCGAAGGCGGCUCUCUGGGACGGUACUGACGCUGAGACGCGAAAGCGUGGGGAGCGAACAGG
rnacentral:rRNA from 1 species